CCUCCCACACCUCUCAACGAUGUGCACCACGGGAGGU
rnacentral:ncRNA from 1 species